CCAGGAACCACACCACAAACUAUCUACGUGAGGAAAUCAGGUCUGAUGAGCUACCCAGUUACAGGUGGAGGAAGAGAAGAAACCAAAAUUACUGCAGCUGGGGCCGCUCAUUAGGUUGCUGCUGGUCAUGCUCCCUACCCUACAAAAGCAUGACAGAUGGAGCCAGAGGGGCUUGGAGACAUCUGUUCCUCUUCCUGAAAGCUGGGGAGUUGUACAAGAUGGUCUCCUGCAGUACUGGGAGUAAAUGAGGCAGUGGAAACCUUUGCUCCUCUCCUGUUUCCUGAGGAAAAAAGCAAAACAUGUCAUGAUGCUGGAGCAAGGCUCUAGGAGGCAUGCAGCCCUUUACAGAGCUCCCUCUGCUGAAGACAGCACUAGCUUCUAAUGAGAACCAUUCUUCAGAUGCUCAUCUUGCAUAAAUGAAGCCUUAAAGCCAAUGGUGCCACUGCAGUUUACACAGCUGAAGGUCUAGCCCUUGAAGUCUAUCAAGACUGCAGCAGAAUAAACAGAAAACAAAAGACAUGUUACAUGGAGCUGUCACACCCAAGAAGAGGAGAGCUGUACACCACAGAAGAAAAAGGUUGAACCGUCUGGGAAUCAUCCCUUUUUUCUCUAGUUGGCUGUGAGAGGCUGUCCCUCAUGAUCUCCACCCCUGGCUAUUUCAUGCCUCAUCAGAGGCUGCUCUUCUAUCUUCCACUAACGUUAUACUAUGUAUUUCAGUUACUCCCGGCAUAAAAAUAGUAUUCAUGUGUAAUUCAGGCUGUGAUCCAAAAGUCUGCCCUCUUCCUGACACAAGGGAUUCAUCCUGGAGAAUACCUCAUGCUUUCAGAUAAUUCCACUCCUCAUAUUUUCCUCCCGUUCUCCCCUUUUGCUUUCCCCUCUUCCCACACAUGUGAUGUUGAGAGAAGGCAAAAUGGGUAGGAAGGAGGGCAAGAUUACUGUGUAUCAGCUCAGGGAAUGACAGAGAGCCAGAUCUUCUCCCACGCUGACUGGCACAUGGCAGCUCCAGGAGAACGCAGUCUGCAAGCUAAAGGGCAUGGACAGACCCUUCUUUCAGCUGCCAUCUGCAGCACGUACCGGCUGGAGAUGCAUGCUGCUCAAUCCUGUGGGAAACUGAAAAACAGAGGAUACACCACCAUUUACCUCUGCUGGUGUCCUUGUCUUCCAUCCUGCAGAGCUUGGUGGGGUAUGAGUUAGCCCUGAGACCCCAGAGGCUUCUCCAAAAGCCCUAUUCCAAACUACAGGUUCACAGAGUCUGUGGCAGGCUGCCUGUGACACAGCUGAAGACUGGUAGUUGAUAGAACCACAGCAUUUACUAGAGCACUUCCUAAGGAUACCAACUCUUUUUAUGAACCCGAACAAGGGACACCUUUGUUACAGCUCAGUCCUGCAGCCCUACCAGAUGCAUACAAGGAAGACCACAGCACACCAUGAAAAAUCCUGAUCCAGGACAUCACCAAGCAGUUGCAUCUAUCGUAAUGAAUGGAAGCAAGAGUACAAUUUCAAAGCUGCUCCACAAAGCAGACUGCAAGUAGAUGGGCUAAUCAAGCUUCUCUACAUGGCAUUUGGUCUGGAAAUUAAUUUUUGUCAGGGCAAAAUUUAACGUAUCCCCUGGAUAUGAAAAAUUUCUUAUGAGUAUUUUCUAAUGUUUAUGCAAAAACCCAGUUUACAAUGCAUCUUAAAAACUGCAAUUCUGGGUUACUACAGAAAACCCUAAAAAUUACCCAAUUGUAGGAAAAAAAAAAAUAUAAACAAAGAGAAAGUAUUACUUCUCCUGUCCAAACAGAGUGAUAGAGCAAAACAUAAAUAGCAUACAGGAAAAAUAAACUGGAUGUUUAAAAUUCUCAGAUUUUACCCUCAUAGAUGACUUCCAUAAUGUAGAAAAGAUAAUUUAACUGAAGAAAGGAGAGGCUUUCAGAUGCUAAGAGACCUCCUGUGUGUUUGGUAGUGCAACAGUGCACAAGUUCUGUUUGGAUACUACUUGUUUGAGGUACUAGGCACUAACGAGCACAUCAAAUGUACUGGGCUCCAAGCAGUGGAACACUGGAUUUACUCAGCGUUGCCUAUUUCCUCACCUGUUCCGGUGGCUUCUGACCUUCUAUUACAAGUGCACUGCAGAGACUACAGAUCAGUUAUAACUACACGCAAAACAGAUGAGGAACAGAAUUUGAGGACUGGAAAACAGAGAACUUCUGUUAUCACCAGUACAAAGUCACACUCUCCACCUAAGCAGGGAAAAUAUAUAGGAAGCCUGUGAAACAUCAUUUAACAUGUUAAAAAUCUGUACUACGGGAACAGGCUCAGAUGCUAGAUGUGAAUACUUCACAUCAUCGCAAAUAUUUAUUUUGUAAGUGCUGCUCAGCUCAUGGAGACAGCUAAAGUGUGAGACUGACACAAGAUCUCUUUUUACCCUGACUAUUCCUACCAGCAGAUUUGUAUCCCUCCUGUUUCCCCUUGCAUGUAAGCUGUGUGAUAUAUGACAAGAUCUGGCUGAGACUGUACACAGUCAUAUUCUACUUGGUUAUAGUAUCUCAGAGUAAAUUUUUUAGGAAAAUGUA